GCUAUCUGUAUUUCAACCAAGAGAUGAGAAGAUUAGCUGGAGUCCUGAACUCAAGCUCUGACUGAAUACAAAGAUGAAAGCGCAGACCAGAACAGAAAAUUAAAACCAAAACACAAUCCAAGGUUUCAAACAAACAAGUUCUGGAUACUAGCUGUUGCCAAAAUCAAAGGCAACACCUUCAACGCCAAAACCCAGCCUGGGGAGCCCUGGGAGUUGCCACACCCCUCUGUGUCCCAGCCUCGGUUGUCACUUUCUUUCUGGCAUCUAAUCAGAAAUGUUAAGGAAACACGCAGGAUUGUUCUCUUAA